rnacentral:lncRNA from 10 species
GAAAUCCCGCUCCUGCCGCGAGGCGCCCUCCGCUUCGCGCUCCCUCGUGUCACGAGGGAGCCAGGGUGGGCGGUCUCCUAUUGUACUUGGCUUUUGAAUUUUCGCUUUUGCAGCACAAAGGUCUCUCCUGCCACCUUGUGAAGAAGGCAUCUGCUUCCCCUUCACCUUUCUCCAUGAUCGUAAGCUUCCUAAGGCCUCCAAAGCCAUGCAGAACUGGCAGAAAAUGGCAAGACCAAUAGUCCCCUAGGGUAAGGGGCUAUAACCCACAAUCCUAGAAGGAAUGUCAAUGCCGAAAACCCCAGAGCAUCUGUUGGGGUGACCAAAAAUACCUAUGCUGAAAACCUGGAGUGUCCGAAGUUCAGCCAAUGAGUGUUCUCUCACCAAAUCCCAAAAACCUUGGGGCACCCCAGGGGUGGCCAAGAGUGAACCCCAGACCAAGCUGGGAUCACAGAACAACUUGACUCUGGUGUUCUAGAGUCCACACAAUGGGGGAUCUCUCACAACCAAGUAUCCUGCCUUGAACAAUUGCCCAAAUACAGUUAACAGAAAGUCAAAAGCAAACAUGACUGCAAACAAACAACUGCAAUCAAAACAUACAUUUUUAGGACUGAAAAUAAAACAAAUGGUGGAGGAAUAAAAUGAAGUCAGAGGAAAAGAAAAAACAAAAACAAAAAAUGGGAAAAGUGGUGACAAGGAUAUGCUUCAGAGCAUCUAAACCGUGGGUAACUUUUAACUGACCACUUAGCCAAAGGCUUUCAUUUCCUAGCUUACCUAAUAUUAUGGUUGGGGAGGAGAAGAGAGGAGACAUUCACCCGUUGCACCAACUAAUCUCCCACGCAGGACUUGGGUAUAGGUCUCUCCAGGUUCCCCCAGCUUGAGUGGGCUCAGCUGCCAUAUUGUGAGAGGGACAGCACAGGGACCUGUAAUCCACUGACCUGCUUGGUUGGAGCAGUGGGUCCCACACAAGGCAGCAGCACCAUGGCCACUUGAUCCUCCACUUUGCUCUGCUGCCUGCCGGGGAAAGAUGAUGGCUCUUAAAAGAGUCUUUGGUUAGUGUUAUAGCUCUGUAGUGUUAGAAGCUAUUUAUUGUUACAGCCUCGGUGUUACAGCUCUUGCAGCCUCGAGAUCAGACAUUUUUGCUGUCUCUCUCCUUGUGGUAUUGCAGAUUGCCAUGUUUCCCUCUCACCAACUACUGUCUCUUGUUAUUUCAGUCUCUCUGACUGCCAUCUUUCAUUGUCUGUCUCCAGUCGCUGCCUCUCUGUCUGUACUGUCUCACCAUCCAGGUCUCACUGUCUCCACCAAUCGAUCACUGCCAUUUCCACCAAUCACUGCCGUCUCCACUGUCUUCCUCCCUUCGCUGGUCACCAGAUGAUGCAAGACAGGCAAGCCCCAAAAUUCAGUCUUAGCCCGGGAGGGUUCUUGGCUUAGCCCAGGAAAUAAUUCAAGGGUGAGUCAGUGGUAUUAAACAGCAACUUUUAUUAAAGUGGCAGCAUACAGCAGCAGCAGAAGUACUGCUCCUUGCAGAGCAGGGCUACUCCAUACUCCCAGAAUAACAGCUCAGAGGCAGUUUUGCAGUCAUAUUUAUACCCACUGUUAAUUAUAUUAAAAUUAAGGGGUGGUUUAUGCAGAAAUUUAUACCAUGAGAGAGGUAACUUCUGGGUUGUCAGGUCAUUGCUAUGGAAAGGAAUGUUAACUUGUUGCCAUGGCAAUGGUAAACUGACAUGGCACAUUAGUGGGCAUGUCUUAUGGGGAGGUGCUUCUGCCCCAGACCUGUUUUAGCUAGUACUCAAUUUGGUCCAAUGUCUGAGCCCUGUGUUGAGUCCUGCCUCCUAGCUCAUUUUUAAGGUUCAUUUAAGCCAUAGCAUGUAUCAGUACUUCAUUCCUUCUAAUUGGCAAAUAAUAUCCCAUUUGUGGCUAAAUCAUAUUUUAUUUAUCCAUUUAUCAACUGAUAGGUAUUUGCACUGUUCCACUUUUUAGCUGUUACAAAUAAAGUGCUCCUAUCAGCAUUUGUGGAUAAGUUUUUGUGUGGACAUAAGCUUUCAUAUCUUUUGGGUACAAACCUAAGAGUGGAAUUGCUGAGUCAUAUGGUAACUCUAUAUUUAACCUUUUGAGGGACUACCAAACAGUUUUGCAAAGUGGCUGUACCAUUUUACAUUUCCACCAACAGUGUUUCAAUUUGUCCACAACUUCUCCAACACUUGAUAUUUCAGUCUUUUGUACUAUAGCCAUGUUAGGGAGUGCGAAGAGGUAUCUCAUUGUGGUUUUCAUUUGUGUUUUCUUUAUAGUUAAUUGAUUUUGGCAUCUUUUAAUGUAUUUAUUGGCCAUUCGUAUAUCUUAUUUGGAGACAUGUUUACUUACAUCUUUUGCCUAUCUUUUAAAUUAUGUAAUUUAUAUUUUAAUUAUUGACUUGUGAAGGUUCUUUUUAUAUUCUA